rnacentral:rRNA from 1 species
ACUCCUACGGGAGGCAGCAGUGGGGAAUAUUGCACAAUGGGCGCAAGCCUGAUGUAGCCAUGCCGCGUGUAUGAAGAAGGCCUUCGGGUUGUAAAGUACUUUCAGCAGUGAGGAAGGUGGUAGUGUUAAUAGCACUAUCAUUUGACGUUAGCUGCAGAAGAAGCACCGGCUAACUCCGUGCCAGCAGCCGCGGUAAUACGGAGGGUGCGAGCGUUAAUCGGAAUUACUGGGCGUAAAGCGCAUGCAGGUGGUUUGUUAAGUCAGAUGUGAAAGCCCGGGGCUCAACCUCGGAAUUGCAUUUGAAACUGGCAGACUAGAGUACUGUAGAGGGGGGUAGAAUUUCAGGUGUAGCGGUGAAAUGCGUAGAGAUCUGAAGGAAUACCGGUGGCGAAGGCGGCCCCCUGGACAGAUACUGACACUCAGAUGCGAAAGCGUGGGGAGCAAACAGGAUUAGAUACCCUGGUAGGAUAGCG